rnacentral:tRNA from 1 species
GUUUAUGUAGUUUAAUUAUAAACAUUACACUUUCACUGUAAAGAAAUUAUAUAAAAUAAUCAUAAACU